rnacentral:rRNA from 1 species
CACGUAGGUGGCAAGCGUUAUCCGGAAUUAUUGGGCGUAAAGCGCGCGCAGGCGGUUUCUUAAGUCUGAUGUGAAAGCCCACGGCUCAACCGUGGAGGGUCAUUGGAAACUGGGGAACUUGAGUGCAGAAGAGAAAAGCGGAAUUCCACGUGUAGCGGUGAAAUGCGUAGAGAUGUGGAGGAACACCAGUGGCGAAGGCGGCUUUUUGGUCUGUAACUGACGCUGAGGCGCGAAAGCGUGGGGAGCAAACAGG